rnacentral:rRNA from 1 species
AGUAAUCACAGGUCAGCAUACUGUGGUGAAUACGUUCCCGGGCCUUGUACACACCGCCCGUCACACCAUGAGAGUUGAGAAUACCCGAAGCCCAUGUCAAAGUGGUCGAAGGUAGGCUUGAUGAUUGGGGUGAAGUCGUAACAAGGUAAC